CGGCGAGUGAAGCGGCAACAGCUCAAAUUUGAAAUCUGGCUCUUUUAGGGUCCGAGUUGUAAUUUGCAGAGGGCGCUUUGGCUUAGGCAGCGGUCCAAGUUCCUUGGAACAGGACGUCACAGAGGGUGAGAAUCCCGUACGUGGUCGCUAGCCUUUGCCGUGUAAAGCCCCUUCGACGAGUCGAGUUGUUUGGGAAUGCAGCUCUAAAUGGGAGGUAAAUUUCUUCUAAAGCUAAAUAUUGGCCAGAGACCGAUAGCGCACAAGUAGAGUGAUCGAAAGAUGAAAAGCACUUUGGAAAGAGAGUCAAACAGCACGUGAAAUUGUUGAAAGGGAAGCGCUUGCAGCCAGACUUGCCUGUAGUUGCUCAUCCGGGCUUUUGCCCGGUGCACUCUUCUGCGGGCAGGCCAGCAUCAGUUUGGGCGGUUGGAUAAAGGUCUCUGUCACGUACCUCUCUUCGGGGAGGCCUUAUAGGGGAGACGACAUACAACCAGCCUGGACUGAGGUCCGCGCAUUUUGCUAGGAUGCUGGCGUAAUGGCUGUAAGCGGCCCGUCUUGAAACACGGACCAAGGAGUCUAACAUCUAUG
rnacentral:rRNA from 1 species